AUUGAACGCUGGCGGCAGGCCUAACACAUGCAAGUCGAGCGGAUCGGCGGACGGGUGAGGAAUGCCUAGGAAUCUGCCUGGUAGUGGGAGAUAACGUCCGGAAACGGGCGCUAAUACCACAUACUCUCAGAUGAGCCUAGGGCGGAUUAGGUAGUUGGAGGGGUAAAGGCAUACCAAGGCGACGAUCCGUAACUGGUCUGAGAGGAUGACCAGUCACACUGGAACUGAGACACGGUCCAGACUCCUACGGGAGGCAGCAGUGGGGAAUAUUGGACAAUGGGCGAAAGCCUGAUCCAGCCAUGCCGCGUGUGUGAAGAAGGUCUUCGGAUUGUAAAGCACUUUAAGUUGGGAGGCGUUACCAACAGAAUAAGCACCGGCUAACUCCGUGCCAGCAGCCGCGGUAAUUC
rnacentral:rRNA from 1 species